GGCUGGAUCACCUCCUAACAGGGAGACAAACCUGAUCGUGAUGUCUGAGUAUUUUAAUCUCAGGCCAUGAUCCUGUCGCCUUAGGUCGAUCGGUACCUCAAGGAGCGGAUGGGAGAACCUGAGCAAUCAGGGGAGACUUGUUUUGCUUUUUCAGUUUCUAAACGUUGUCUCGGUCACCCCGUAGCUCCUGGGCCAUUAGCUCAGGUGGUUAGAGCGCACCCCUGAUAAGGGUGAGGUCCCUGGUUCAAGUCCAGGAUGGCCCAUUCAGAGCCUGCUCAGCAGGCAGGACUUGACAGCUGGGGGUUUAGCUCAGUUGGUAGAGCGCCUGCUUUGCAAGCAGGAUGUCAGCGGUUCGAGUCCGCUAACCUCCAUAUCAACAGAACCCUACAAGCGCAAGCAAGUGAGCUGUUGGGAGUGAGCUGUUGGGAGUGAACGAGAGAAGGGAAGGAGAGGAGCUGAGAAUGACUCCAGCCUUCAGGAUGCAAGCGCAGGUUAGCGCUGAUGAUCAUGGGACGAGCCAGAACAGACUGAGACCAGCAGGCUGUUUUAGGCGAGUGAUGUGAAUCAUGUGAUCUUGAAUGCUGGACUCACGCCAGCUGAUGGCGAGAGCUGUUAGCCGGUGAGAUGUUCGGCAGAGAACCUUGACAACUGUAUAGGUAAGUCUGGAAAGAAAGCAUCUCAUGGAUGUGAUUGUUUAAUGGGGAAACCCAUUAAGCGAUCAGAAUUCUAUUGAGUUUAGAGCCGAGACUUUCCAGUGUUCUUCCAAGCUUUGGUUGAUCCAGCCAAGGCGCGGGAGUUUGAUUUUGUUAUUCAAACCACAAGUUGACAGCAGUGAGCCUCAAGGGGUGAGCUAAAGGCAAUGAGGA
rnacentral:tRNA from 1 species